CCUGGAAACAGAGCGGCUACUCCGGUGUUACACCGGAGAGGAAAGUCCAGACAGCAGAAGGCAGGGUGACCGGCGCAAGCCGGUACGCGCAAGCGCUAGUGCUGCAAGGCGGCUGGAUCUAACGAUCCGGCUAGAGCAACAGUGACGAACCGAGGUAAAGCUCGGGUGAAACGGGCAAUCCUCCCCGCUGCAAUCUCCGACCCAAGUGGGACGCUUUCCCCGAUACUUGAAAGCUUGAGAGCAAAGAUAGAUGCCGCUAAAACAGAAUCUGGCUUACUCGUUUCCAGG
rnacentral:RNase_P_RNA from 2 species